AGCAGCCGCGGUAAUUCCAGCUCCAAUAGCGUAUAUUAAAGUUGUUGCAGUUAAAAAGCUCGUAGUUGAAUUCCGGGGUCUGUCCAUUGGUCGGGCUUCACGGUCCGUACUGGUGUGAUGGGUUCCUACCUUCUGAAUAACCAGCAUGCCAUUCAGUUGGUGCGUUGGGGAAGCAGAGCUAUUACCUUGAAAAAAUUAGAGUGCUUAAAGCAGGCUAGUGCUUGAAUAGAUUAGCAUGGAAUAAUAAAAUAGGACGGCAUGGUUCUAUUUUGUUGGUUUCUAGGAUCACCGUAAUGAUUAAUAGGGAUAGUUGGGGGCAUUAGUAUUCAAUUGUCAGAGGUGAAAUUCUUGGAUUUAUUGAAGACUAACUUCUGCGAAAGCAUUUGCCAAGGAUGUUUUCAUUAAUCAAGAACGAAAGUUAGGGGAUCGAAGACGAUCAGAUACCGUCGUAGUCUUAACCAUAAACUAUGCCGACUAGGGAUCGGACGAUGUUAAUUUUUUAAUGACUCG
rnacentral:rRNA from 1 species